UACGUAGGGUGCAAGCGUUAAUCGGAAUUACUGGGCGUAAAGGGCGCGCAGGCGGCUCAGACAGUCAGAUGUGAAAGCCCCGGGCUUAACCUGGGAACUGCAUUUGAUACUACUGAGCUUGAGUACGGGAGAGGAUAGUGGAAUUCCCAGUGUAGAGGUGAAAUUCGUAGAUAUUGGGAAGAACACCGGUGGCGAAGGCGGCUAUCUGGACCGUAACUGACGCUGAGGCGCGAAAGCGUGG
rnacentral:rRNA from 1 species